GCCUUCGUGGUGUAGUGGUUAGCACGCUCGACGCGUAACCGAGAGGUCCGUGGUUCGAUUGCGGCAAAGGCG
rnacentral:tRNA from 1 species